UCACGUUGACGUCAGAGGCAAGGGUUGCGAGGUGGAUCACGGUGCGG
rnacentral:antisense_RNA from 1 species